rnacentral:rRNA from 1 species
AGUGAACGCUGGCGGUAGGCCUAACACAUGCAAGUCGAACGGCAGCACAGUAAGAGCUUGCUCUUACGGGUGACGAGUGGCGGACGGGUGAGGAAUACAUCGGAAUCUACUUUUUCGUGGGGGAUAACGUAGGGAAACUUACGCUAAUACCGCAUACGACCUACGGGUGAAAGCAGGGGAUCUUCGGACCUUGCGCGAUUGAAUGAGCCGAUGUCGGAUUAGCUAGUUGGCGGGGUAAAGGCCCACCAAGGCGACGAUCCGUAGCUGGUCUGAGAGGAUGAUCAGCCACACUGGAACUGAGAAACGGUCCAGACUCCUACGGGAGGCAGCAGUGGGGAAUAUUGGACAAUGGGCGCAAGCCUGAUCCAGCCAUACCGCGUGGGUGAAGAAGGCCUUCGGGUUGUAAAGCCCUUUUGUUGGGAAAGAAAAGCAGCAGGUUAAUACCCCGCUGUUCUGACGGUACCCAAAGAAUAAGCACCGGCUAACUUCGUG